rnacentral:sRNA from 1 species
UAUUCCAAAUUUGUUUUUCAAUUGCCAAAUUAAUAUUAGUUUAUAUUAUCUAUUUGGUUCAAAGUCAUGAAUAAUUAAAGAAGUUUAAUUAUAACAUGUUUUGAAAUAAAGAGAUUUAAUAUAUAACUGUCAAAUUAUUUGGCCUUGCAAUUUUGGAUAUACUGAACGCUUUUUGUUGAAUCUCUCAACAAUUGUUCGUGGUUUUCACGAAUUACUCAAGUAGAGGUAAUGUCAGCCGAUAGAAUUUCCUGUUUCUUGAUGGUGUUACACCACUACUAUAUCCAA